rnacentral:rRNA from 1 species
CAGGGCUUAAAUGUAAGUUGCAUGGACCAGAGAUGGACCUUUCUUCGGACUACUUACAAGGUGCUGCAUGGUUGUCGUCAGCUCGUGCCGUGAGGUGUCAGGUUAAGUCCUAUAACGAGCGCAACCCCUGUUGUUAGUUGCCAGCAAGUAAAGUUGGGUACUCUAGCGAGACUGCCGGUGCAAACCGUGAGGAAGGUGGGGACGACGUCAAAUCAUCACGGCCCUUACGUCCUGGGCUACACACGUGCUACAAUGGUCGGUACAGAGAGCAGCCACUACGCGAGUAGGAGCGAAUCUUCAAAGCCGAUCUCAGUUCGGAUCGCAGUCUGCAACUCGACUGCGUGAAGCUGGAAUCGCUAGUAAUCGCAUAUCAGCCAUGAUGCGGUGAAUACGUUCCCGGGUCUGUACACACCGAAUCUAGAUGCAUCGGAGACAAA